AUGGUGUCUCCCGCCUGCUCUGAGGUGAUUCCUGACGGUGUUUUCAGUGUUUGCUAUACUGACCCCGUCUCGCACAUGUGCCUUUCUUCAGUGCUUGGUGCUCGUCCGUCUGUGCUAUCGUCCCCUGUGGCGACUCUCGCACGUGGUGAUUGUCGCUCUACAUCGACUCCUCCUACGACUUUUAUCGGUGAUUAUCGUUCUACACCGGCUCCUCUCACGGCCCCCAUCGGAUGUGUUGAUGCAUAUGACUCUAUUGACCCGCGUCUUCCUUUGGCGCUUGGGGCUUGUCUGCAUGUGCCCUCGUCUCCUUCACCGGCCUCUACGGAUGAUGUUGGUUAUGCUAUGUCGCCUCCUCUGGCGGCUUCCACAGGUGGUGGUGGGCCUGGUGGCCGCUCCUCUCCCAGUGCUACUGCGUCGUCUACUUCAGCUAUGUACUUCACCGAGCAGGAGAUUCUGGGACUUCGUGGUCUGCUGACCGCCUCCGGCUCUUCAUUGCCGGGUGCCUCUACGUCGACCUCUUCAGUUGAGCUCCUGACUGAGCAGAAGAUUACGCGCCUUCGGUGCUUGCUCGCUGCAUGCUCUGGUUCUUCACCGACGGGUUCUGCUGGUUCUGCUACUGACUCCUCUGGCAUUGUGAGACCACCUUCAACACAGUCAGGUACAUCUCCAUGGAUUCUUGAUACUGGAGCAUCUUUUCAUAUGACUCAUGAUUCAUCCACCCUGUCUUCUAUUCGUGCUCUUGAUUCUCCUAUUCAUGUUCUUACUGCUGAUGGUACCUCCCUCCCGGUUAAUGGUCGAGGCAUUCUUAGCACCUCAUCUUUUCAUGUUCCUGAUGUUGCUCAUGUUCCUCGACUUACCAUGCAACUCUUUUCUGGUGGUCAGAUUGUUGACUCCGGUUGUCGGGUGAUUCUAGACUUUGACUCUUGUUCUGUUCUGGACCGUCAUACUGGUGCUCUCCUUGGUGCUGGCCCCCGACACCGUGACUCUCAGGGUCUCUGGGAGCUUGACUGGCUUCACCUUCCCUCUGCUGUCAUCGCCGCCAGUCUUUCCCCCUCUGUUGCCUUGUCUACCAGCUCUUUUCAGCAGUGA
rnacentral:rRNA from 1 species